rnacentral:ncRNA from 1 species
CGACCCCUGGUCAGGCGGGAUCACCCGCUGAGUUUAAGCAUAUCAAUAAGCGGAGGAAAGGACACUAAGAAGGAUUCCCUUAGUAACGGCGAGCGAACCGGGAAGAGCCCAACUUGAAAAUCAGACGUCUUUGGCGUUUGAAUUGUUGUAUGGAGAAGCGUUCUCAGCGACGGACCGGGCCCAAGUUCCCUGGAAAGGGGCGCCAGAGAGGGUGGAGCCCCGUCGUGCCCGGACCCUGUCGCACCAUGAGGCACUGUCUACGAGUUGGGUUGUUUGGGAAUACAGCCCCAAUCGGGCGGUAAAUUCCGUCCAAGGCUAAAUAUGGGCGAGAGACCGAUAGCGAACAAGUACCUCUAGGUAAAGAUGAAAAGGACUUUGAAAAGAGAGUCAAAGAGUGCUUGAAAUUGUCGGGAGGUAAGCGGAUGGAAGCCGGUGAUUCAUCCUGGUCGGAUGCGGAACUGAGCAAUCCGGUCUGCUGAUCGAUUCGAGCCGUGGACCAACGCGGAGACGUUGCUGCCUUAAUUCUAGUCUGCAGCACGCGCCUCACGGUGUGCCUCGGCAUCUGUGUGCUCAGGGCAUCGGCCUGUGGGCUCCCCAUUCGACCCUUUUUGAAACACGGACCAAGUAAUCUGACAUGUGUGCGAGUCAACGGGUGGGUAAACCCGUAAGGCGCAAGGAAGCUGAUUGGCUGGAUCCCUCAAGGGUGCACAGACAACCGACCUUGAUCUUCUGAGAAGGGUUCGAGUGUGAGCAAGCCUGUCGGGACCCGAAAGAUGGUGAACUAUUUCAGAGUUCUUUUGAUAUUUUUCUGACUAUUUCGACUAAAUAUUUUUCAUCAUUCGAAUCUCGUCCUGCUCUGAAUAAACUCACCUAGCAUGAAUAAAAAUAGACAAUAAUAAUUAACACUCGACCAAAAUCAUCAAGAGCUGAUUUUUCGACCAAAAGACAGCCCGUCGAAAGGUUAAUUCACCGUGUCGAUAUUUAUUUAAAUUCCGAUCGAUCAAUCUUCAAACUGAUCUUAAAGAAUUUUCUCUACCAAAAUUCUAUCUGCUCGUGAGGGUUAUUACAUUCUUCAACCCUCAAAAGAAUUCGUCCUCGAAUUCUAAAAACGUAGCUGUACACUCUUUACUGAACAGUCUCUGAAAAGAGUUCUGGAUAUUAGAUCUGACCUUAUCUUAAUCUGCCCAUAUCAAAACAACUCAUGGUCGAUCCCUUGAUUCCCCCAACCGAUCCUUUCUUUUCUGAGCAGCCACUUUCAAGAUAACCAAAUUCUUUACUCUGCACAAUUCUUAUCAACUGCGGUCUGCAUACUUUUUCUAACAAUCUUGUAUCUGUAGACUAUUACUUCUCAACCUUUUCUAUCUCGCUCUCCCCCAUAACAACAACAUGAAAUUUGGAACGUGACGUGAUUUGCCAUACGUGAAUGUAACAUCUCCAGUCUAGUCAAUAUUAACUUGAUUAACCGUGCAACAAUCAAACAAGAACAUGCACGAUUAAUCACGCCAACAUGAUUCAGACCAGGGGUGCUACUCUAAAAAAAACACACUCACCCAUUCCAAGAAUGAUUUCACUUACAGUAUUCUUUACACUUCCGAUCUAUCUGAAAUGCUCUUCAUAAUCUUCUAACUACUACUAGAACUCGACAAGAACAACUUGGCGAAAUCCCUAGGCUAUUGCAGUGAAUUCAUGUUCAACUAGAAUACUGAACAUGUUACUUUUUUAGAUGUCGACCAUCCUUUCAAUGCCUUAAACACAUCUUCAUCCUCCCUAAUUAUCAUUCUGUCUUCUACUCUGCUCCUUUUCAUCUUCCACUUUUUAAACGAUCAAGUUACUAGAGUACACUUCUUCACCUUUUCCCAAAAAUUCUUCAACAGGCCAGACUAAUUUGAGUGAUACUCAAACACUUAGUAGUAUACCAUUGUAGGCCAAGAAUAACUGGCCCUCUUCAACAGACUUCUUUCUUUAAUAUCCUAAUUGAGCUCGGUAACUAGAUAGCCAAUCUCAUUCUAGAUAGAAACAUACCGCUCUAACAGAAGUACUAUGGAAUGGGGAAGGCAUACCAUAACUUUAACUGGCAGCCCCUACUUCCAAAUAAGAACGGUAGACUUGAAUUCACAAAAGUGAAUCCUCUAUAAUGCUAUGACAUCGCUCAGGAACUACAACCAUGUGUUGUUCCCGAAUCAAACACAAUAUGGGCGGAGAAUUCCAUCCAUAGGCAAGGUCUCUUACGACACCUUAA